rnacentral:rRNA from 1 species
GAUGAACGCUGGCGGCGUGCCUAAUACAUGCCAGUCGAGCGAACAGAUGAGGAGCUUGCUCCUCUGACGUUAGCGGCGGAAGGGUGAGUAGCACGUGGAUAAACUAGCUAUAAGACUGGGAUAACUUCGGGAAACCGGAGUUAAUACCGGAAAAUAUAUUGAACCGAAUGGUUCCAUAGUAAGAGACGGUUUUGAUGUAACUAAUAGAUGGAACCGCGCAGCAUUAGGUAGGUGGUAAGGUAACGGCCACGCACGGCAACGAUGGGUAGCCGACCGGGGAGAGUGAUAGCCGACGCGGGAACGGAGACGCGGACCAUAGGACUACGAGAGGCAGCAGUAUGGUAUCUUCCGCAGUGGCCGCAAACCUGACGGAGCGACACCGAGUGAGUGACGAAGGCCUCCGGAGCGUAAAACUCAGUUAUUAGUGGAGAACUAAUAUGUAAGUGACUGAGCACGUCUUGACGGUACCUAAACAAGAAGCCCCGGCUAACUACGUG